UACGUAGGGGGCGAGCGUUGUCCGGAUUUAUUGGGCGUAAAGAGCUCGUAGGCGGCUGUUCGAGUCGGGUGUGAAAUCCUGAGGCUUAACCUUGGGUCUGCAUUCGAUACUGGGCGGCUUGAGUCUGGUAGGGGGAUCUGGAAUUCCUGGUGUAGCGGUGGAAUGCGCAGAUAUCAGGAGGAACACCGGUGGCGAAGGCGGGAUCCUGGGCCAGUACGUGACGCUGAGACGCGAAAGCGUGGGAGCGAACGAGGA
rnacentral:rRNA from 1 species